UACGUAGGGGUCGAGCGUUGUCCGGAGUUACUGGGCGUAAAGCGUGUGCAGGCGGCGCAUCGCGCCCGGCGUGAAAGCCCCCGGCUCAACCGGGGAGGGUCGUCGGGGACGGGUGCGCUUGAGGGUAUCAGGGGCAGGUAGAAUUCCCGGUGUAGUGGUGAAAUGCGUAGAGAUCGGGAGGAAUACCCGUGGCGAAGGCGGCCUGCUGGGAUACACCUGACGCUGAGACACGAAGGCGUGGGGGGCGAACGGG
rnacentral:rRNA from 1 species